rnacentral:snRNA from 13 species
AUACUUACCUUGUUCCGAUUUUCCCAGCUCAAGAAUUGGGGAAAUUAGUAAGGAGGGCCUGCAUUGCACAGCGCGGUGUCAUCCUUGCUCCAUUGUCCUUCGGGGCCAUGGGGGGCGCAAUUUUUGAUAUCCCACUCGUUUUCAUUGUGAGCGUUGC